rnacentral:sRNA from 1 species
UUGGGGUUAGGGGUGUUGUCGGUGUCACAGACAGGUUUGCAGGGUUUGGGGGUGGGUGUAGGAUUUCAGGGAGAAAAAUGGGGAGGAAUUCUGGGAGAAAAGGGGGAUUGAGCGGUCGAUUUGGGGAGAAAGAGAGGAGAGCGUGAUUUGGGGAUUAGGUGAAAACAAAGCAGCUUCGAAUUACUCAAAUCAAAACUGACUUUGUCCGCAACCUCUGCUUGCUUGCUCCCUUUCUCAGUCGAUCCUGACGAAAACUAUAGAUCUGUGUGCAUCUGCAUCUUCAGAGAAUUCUAACUGUUGUUCUGAAUUAGUAGCUGAGAAAAUAGAAUGGGGAAGUAUACAAAUGGAUUUGAUUUGAUUCUUGGAGCUGACAUAUAUAUCCACAAUUGUUCAUUUUUAUCAUGGUAGCAACCCUGUAAUUCAUCGGAGUUUAGAGCGAGUUAAUUGAACAUUUUAACUCAAACCCAUAGAAAUCUGUGAACUCCGCAUUAGAAUCUAGUGACCUCAUCAC